rnacentral:lncRNA from 1 species
ACAAGCACAAGAAAACUAAAAACACUACAACAAAAACGGUCUAUAGUGACACUUUUAAAUGUCGGUACAUGUCAAAAAAAGUACUGUUGGCUAAAUUACCGACACUUUUAAAAAAUAUUGCUAUAUGUGGGGUCGCUAGGUAUAUAGUGACAAUUAAAGAGUGUCGCUAUAACCUAAAAAUAGUGCUGCUAAUUUAACAAUAUUUAUUUAAGCAUCUAGCAACCACCGGAACUCUACCUCGUUGGCUGCGGUGGCGGAGGUGGACGAGAGGAAAGGGCCCUUCGUCUAGGAUUUCAGUGGAAUGGGUGAGAGGAGAAGGAGAGAUGGUAAUCGAUCUUUUUUUAUUUUUUCUUUUCUGUUUAUAAUCGGGCCAAAUGGGCUGGGUUGGGUGGGUUGAGUAGAGUAACAUUUUAUUUUUUGUUGGAUUCGGUUUUAUAUUUAGACAUUAAUAGAUGUAUUUUAAAAUUUUGGUAGAAAUGAGACACUUAGGCAAAAGUGUCUCAAACAUGUGUCGCUAUAAUCUAAUUUUGUUGUAGUGAAAUGACAUGCGAAUUAAUUUCUACCGAACAAAAAGCAAUCAAAGAGUGAUUAGGAAAAUGAUUCAGUUUCACUUCACACAUUUUACUUUUGAAUAAUAAUAUGGUAUCAAAGCCAAUAUUAUGUCCCCAAUCUAUGAACGCCAUACAUACUUGCGAGGAAUUUGUGCUUUUAUAUAUUAUAAACUUUGCCACAAACCUUUUCUUGUAGAUCCUCUUAACAUUUUCCAAUAUUCUGGUUCUUAACAUUUUCCAAUAUUCUGGAUUGACUAUAAUAGGUUUGUUCGAUCAUUACAAAUUAAUCUACUGAGAUGGGAGUACGUAAUUCUGAAGGAUCAGAUUGGUGUUGAGAACUACCAAUACUAACAGCAAGAUCAAACCAAAAAAAAAGUAAAAAUUAUAUCUUAGUUGAACCAAUACGUUACACGCGACACGUAUAUUAUUAUAAUAAAGUGAUUAUUUUUUGUGUCACACUGUUUCAUCGUAUCUAACAACAGUCCUAUCGUAUGAAACGGACGUUUUGUCGCUCUCUUUUACAUCCAAAAAAUUCCAUGUUGCAAUAAUAAGCUUUAAAGAAAUCUCAUCCGCAAUAAAAUUGAGCUGCAGUGGCACCAAUUUCAUGUUAAAUGCUGAAUAAAUCUCAAGGUAAAUGUCAUAUCAAUCGUAUAUAUCACCAUCAUGGAAAAGUCGUGGGAGCAAGCUCUUUUCUAUACACUAUUAAUAGGUAAUAGGAGAAUAUUUAUAACGCAAUUAUGAAGUUUCCAAUCAUUGAAAUGGCUAUAGAAGGUACUAAAGGAAAAGGAAAAAAAAAAAAAAAAAGUGUCAUACCUCCCAAGUAGAAUAUUAGUGUCAAAAUAAAUGAUAAUUAAAGUUUUGACUUUUAUAUGUGUGAAACGUUUUAUAUUUAUCAAAUAAAUUUUUGGGUUUUGUUUGGGCCCUUUAAUAAGAUACCACAGGUUGGUCGAUCACACUUUCCAUGUGGUCUAGUUUCUUUUUUGUUUAGCUUUGUUUCAAUCUGAUUAAUUGCAUCCAGUUUUUAUCUGAUUUUGCCAGGUUCUUUGAACCCAGCUAUGUUGAGUUCUUUUAAGCCUUGUUUGAAUUCAUAAAUCUCUCAUUCAACUUAUAUCUUCUUAAUUUAUUCAACAAACUUGUAGCAUUUGCUGGACAAGAAAUGUGAUCAAACCUAUCGAAUAUAGUUAAGAUAAAUCAGUACCCUACAAUGUGAAAUACGCUUUCCGGCCAUAUCGUGAAUAUUAAAACCGUUCAACAAACAAAAAACAAGCUUCUUACUUCCAAUCACACACAGAAAAAAAAAAAAAAAAGAGUUCAUACCGAACAUUUUAUCAUUGAAUAACUUAUUAUGAUGUGGUCCCACUAUGUAUACAUACAAAAACUUUUUUCAUCUAGCAAUUUCUAAUAUUUUGGAUUAAGUACAUGCCCUUUAAUUAACCUUCAUAUUCAAACUUUUGGCCUUAGGAGACAUAGAAAUGGGAAAAAGCUAGUGUCAUAGUGUCAUACAUAUGAACUCAAUCCUUUAAUAUUACAUCUAAGUAGCUGAACAUUUAUUAAGAUCUAACCUAUUCAGAUUGAAUUUUCAACUCAUAAGUAACAAAUAGCACUUCUUCAAUUGCGUAAGGAUUCUCAAAGAAAAUUAAUUGCUAUACGAUCGUCGAUGUCAAGUUAGGUUUGCUCAUUAAUGUUGUUCAACACGCGCGCCCGUGCGCACACACACACACACGCAUCUUUCUAAUCAAACAAUUUUGACCGGCAGUUUCUUCGUUUAGUUGGUUUUUCAUUGAGUAAUGCUAUGCUUACAAACUAAUUUUAUAACACUUUACAAAUUAGCAUCAAAUUAUGCGGUUUGUGAAAUCUAAAAAUGCAUCUCCAUGUUGCUAGUUAAUUAAGUGGACAAAGUAAGUAUUUAAUGAAGUUAUUUAACUUCGUGGAACCUAAAUUUUCAGAUGUUAGAGAACAACAAAUUUUACAGGUACAACAUUGUGGUCUCUCAAGCGCUUUAAAUUAUCUUGGGCCUAUUGGGCCAUGAAACUGGUUGUGUCUAAUACUAUUACAAAAGGAUUAUUAAUAAUGAUGAGGAACUAAUCCUGGGCCAUGAUGGGCCUCUGAUGUCCCACUCUCUCAAAUUGGGCUAAGAAACUCCUCUACAUAUUAUAACAAAAACGGUCUAUAGCGACAAUUUUGAAUGUCGGUAUAAGUCAAAAAAAGUGCUGUUGGCUAAAUUACCGACACUUUUGAAAAGUGUUGCUAUAUGUGGGGUCGCUAGGUAUAUAGUGACAGUUAAAGAGUGUCGCUAUAACUUAAAAAAAAGUGCUGCUAAUUUACCAACACUUAUUUAGGCAUUUAGCAACCGCCGGAACUCUAUCUCGUUGGCUGUGGUGGUGGAGAAGGACGAGAGGGAAGGGCUCUUCGUCUAAAAUUUUAAUAGAUUGAGUGAGGGGAGAAGGGGAGAUGGUAAUCGAUUUUUCUAUUUUUUUUUUUUUAUUUGUAAUCGGGCCGAAUGGGCUGGGUAGGGUGGGUUGAGUAGAGUAACAUUUUAUUUUUGGUUGGAUUAGGCUUUAUAUUUAGGUGUUAGCAGAUUUUUUUAAAAAUUUAGGCAUAAAUGUGACACUUACACAAAAGUGUCCCAAACAUGUGUCCCUAUAAUCUAAUUCUGUUGUAGUGAGGUUUGGGUUAGUGGGCCCUCGAAAUGUUUGUGUUACAACUUUCGCGCAAGUAUAAAUAUCUUAUUUAGUAUAUCUAUUUAAUUUUUAAGUAGGCACCAUACUUUAUUUGAUUGAGACAAAGUGUAGUAAAAAUGCUUACGCCAGCUUUCGCGCGAGUAUAAAUAUCAUUUCAUUCUUUUUUUUUUUUGAAAAUUAACUCAGAUGGAAAUGUGAAAUAACUAGAUUUAGAAUUUGAGACCUCAGAUAAUAAUCACCAAAUACUUUGCCACUUGCACU